rnacentral:lncRNA from 1 species
UAGUAGUCACAGCGCGAUCGAUCAAAGUACUACCACUUCUACUAGGACCAUGAUCAUGACACUGAGGAUUGUUUCCAGCUAAAGAUGGAAAUAGAAGCCUUCAUUCAGUGAGGUCACCUGCAGGACUUCAUCGACUUUCCAAAGGAUGCCGAAGCCUUGAGCCGCGAACUUCAGCCCAUGGCCACCAAGCCUUCAAUUGACAACUGACCC